GAACUUGAUGUCACGAAUCACGAUCGGUUUGCGCGUAGAUCAGCAUGAAGUCAAACACAUCUGAGAUGUGUGGGCUGCCUGCACUCAACGUUGCGAUCAUUCAAUAGAGUGUAACCUCAAUCGGUUUUUGCAGCUUUUGGGUCUCGUGUAGAACGAUCACAGAACGAUUUGUUGUUCUUUUCCAGCUCGAUUUUUAACUCCCUAAACUAGUAGGAUGUUCCAACGGGUGAAGCAACAGUGCUGACGGCAGUUUCAGUGUCAAGUUUUCAUGCCAUGACCACUGGGGCGGAAACCAUUAUGACAUUGCCUUGGACAUCAAACUAAACCAUCUCAUUCUGGCUUUUGAGGUGGAUUCUAACCUCGAAAUCUCAGAAGGACAGGUCUAAGAUGGACGCAGCCUCCAUAGGAUGCAACCUUGCAUUUGAGAAACACCCAUAGAACGGUCAACUUACCCCAUACUCAAACCUGAAUGCAGGGAUCAUAAAACUUUAUCUUUUACCUUAAUUGUUAGAUGGGUGUUGAUACCAAACUUUUUUUCUCGUCUACCCAGGAGAAAGUCAUGGGUUCUGCUGCUAAUGUUGUCAUUAACGUCUUUUAUUCUGCUUACCUGACUCAUGCAGAAUUCUGGCUUGAUGUUUGGUCCACCUGUUAGCUGGCUCUGGUGCUUGGUAGUCUUCUCAAACCUCUGAAUCAAGACCACCAUGAGAGGCCUUCUGAAGACCAUCAUUACGCUUCAGAUCCAGUUGUCUUUACUAUGAGCCUACCACAAUCCCUGUGCACCAGCUAUGGAAAGUGCAGACCAAACUUCUACCUCCACCUAUAGAACUGAACUGGAGUCUAUGAACUAAUGCUGUGUUCGAGACAACUUGGAUGUUGGAUAUUAUUGACCUUAAACCCGUAAGAAGUCAGGAACAGGAAACUAAGUGGAGUAUCCAACCUCUCAACUUGGAACAGAUCGAUCAACACCGACCUCAACGAGAUGCGUCAUUUGACAUUGCAGACAAGGUGGUGGCUAGCCUUUCACAGCCUUACAUGAACCGCAAACAAACUUUAAACAGCACGUAAUAUAGAUGAACAUGAAUGUUAAAUUAUCCAGUAACCGUUGGCGCAAGAGCACAAACUUCUCAUGGCGUCUCAUUAUGUGGUAAACACGCAAAAUGUGAUACGUGAUUGACUGGAAUGCAUUGAGGUCGGAGAUCCUUUCUCUUUUUAAUGCAGCACUUAAGGAUGAACCACCCUGAUCUACUAAGAUGCACAGAUUCAACUCUGGCCCAGCAUCAUCCCCAUACCUCAUCUGCCAUCAGUUUAAUUUAAUGUCUGUCAAUUGCAAAUGCUAUUUAUUUCAGUUAUAUUACAACUUAAUAUUAAAAGAAUAGUCUACCCUUUUGCCAUAUUAAAC